ensembl:lncRNA
CUCGAAUUUCCAAUAGUUUCCAUUCUUCUACAGAUUUUGCCAUCCCCUUAGAUACCAUACUCCUCCAGGUCUCGAAAUCCUUUUAGCUUCCAUUCUUCUCCAGGUUUUGAAAUCUCUUUACAUUCCAUUCUUCUCCAGGUCUCAAAUUCCCUCUACAUUCCAUUCUUCUCCAGGUCUCAAAUUCCAUUUCCAUUCCAUUCUUCUCCAGGUCUCCAAUUCCCUCUACAUUCCAUUCUUCUCCAGGUCUCCAAUUCCCUCUACAUUCCAUUCUUCUCCAGGUCUCCAGUUCCCUCUACAUUCCAUUCUUCUCCAGGUCUCCAAUUCCCUUUAGAUUCCAUUCUUCUCCAGGUCUCCAAUUCCCUCUACAUUUCAUUCUUCUCCAGGGUCUCCAAUUCCCUCUACAUUCCAUUCUUCUCCAGGUCUCCAAUUCCCUCUACAUUUCAUUCUUCUCCAGGUCUCCAAUUCCCUUUAGAUUCCAUUCUUCUCCAGGUCUCAAAUUCCCUCUACAUUACAUUCUUCUCCAGGUCUCCAAUUCCCUUUAGAUUCCAUAGUUCUCCAG